CAGUAUUUGGGUCAAUAUUCGGACUUAUUCAGUUCCGACAGUUAUGAGCCCAGGUUAGCUACCUAUCACUAUACUUAUAUCUAUUUGAUUAUGGCUAUUUAUCCAAUCUCACCGACCUCCUUAUCGGGGAUGAUAUCAGCAUAUCCUAUAUUCUAUCAAUCCUAUAUCAAUCUAUAUCUGUUUGAUCUAUAAUAUCAACUGAUUCAUCGAUUUCCUAUAUCAACAUUAUUGCUAUCAAGAUGGCAAAAGAGAUUAGCUUAUUCAAAUUGAUAAUUACUCUAGAUUCUUUCCAGAAUUGAAAUCUGUGGUACAAAAUAAUACUAGAUCUAGUCAUAGAAAACAGUGUGCUGGAAUUCAUUGAUGAUGAAAGCUCUGAUCAGAUUGAUCAACUAUCUGUUUCAUUUUGUUCUAGUAUUUCAACUGAAUAUACUUCUGAAGCAAGAAUUUGAUGAGAAAUAGAACAUAUUCAAUAUAACAAUGAAAUGAUAAAAUAUUGAAGGAGAAUUGAUAGUAUUGGUAAGGUUAAACACGAGA
rnacentral:sRNA from 1 species